rnacentral:rRNA from 1 species
ACUCCUACGGGAGGCAGCAGCAAGGAAUUUUGGGCAAUGAGCGAAAGCUUGACCCAGCGACACCGCGUGAGGGAAGAAGGCCUUCGGGUUGUAAACCUCUUUUCCUGGGGAAGAAUUUUGACGGUACCCAGGGAAUAAGCCUCGGCCAACUACGUGCCAGCAGCCGCGGUAAU